rnacentral:rRNA from 1 species
AACGAACGCUGGCGGCAGGCCUAAAACAUGCAAGUCGAACGCCCCGCAAGGGGAGUGGCGCACGGGUGAGUAACGCGUGGGAACGUGCCCCUUAGUACGGGACAACGUCGGGAAACUGACGCCAAUACCGUAUAAUAUCUCCGGAUCAAAGAUUUAUCGCUGAGGGAGCGGCCCGCGUCUGAUUAGCUAGUUGGUGAGGUAAAGGCUCACCAAGGCUACGAUCAGUAGCAGGUCUGAGAGGAUGAUCUGCCACACUGGGACUGAGACACGGCCCAGACUCCUACGGGAGGCAGCAGUUAGGAAUAUUGGACAAUGGGGGAAACCCUGAUCCAGCCAUGCCGCGUGUGUGAUGAAGGCCCUAGGGUUGUAAAGCACUUUCGUUGGGGAUGAUAAUGACCGUACCCAAAGAAGAAGCCACGGCUAAAUUCGUGCCAGCAGCCGCCGUAA